GAAAAAAAAAACCAGAAAAAAAAAUCACAUCAAGUUCUAGACUUUCAAACUGAAACUAAAAACCACUGCAACAUCAAAACCUCUAAUGCUAAUCUACAGAUCAAGUCUAAAAAAUAAAAAUUAAAAGCCAUUACCACAGAACCCAAAAACCUACCACCAAAAGGAUCCAUCCAAAUACCAUGAUGUCUUCAACACAUUGAUCAAGUGAAGGAAUCACCAUAAACAAAUUAGUAGACUCAACAUCUUUAAUGAGGGAUUUGGAGAAGAGACUAGUUGAACUGCCUUGCUAAAUUGAAUCAAGUCCAAAAUAAACCACAAAAAGAUUCAAAUUCUAAUCACUAAAGAAAUUCACCUAACCAGGAGUUCAAGCAAAACACAAAAAGAAACAAAGUGGCAUCUGGUUCCAUCCAUUUAUUUGCCCAAGGUUAUGAAUCAGGCCCAUUAUAUCAUCAAACAUUGAUACUAUGUA
rnacentral:misc_RNA from 1 species